UGGUGGUUAUGAACUGUCUGGUUAAUUCCGUUAACGAACGAGACCUCUGCCUACUAACUAGUAGAAGGUGUUCACACCUUUUUACUUCUUAGAGGGACAAUGUGUGCAAGCGCACGGAAGUUGGAGGCAAUAACA
rnacentral:rRNA from 1 species